rnacentral:rRNA from 1 species
GACGAACGCUGGCGGCGUGCUUAACACAUGCAAGUCGAACGGAAAGGCCCUGCUUUUGUGGGGUGCUCGAGUGGCGAACGGGUGAGUAACACGUGAGUAACCUGCCCUUGACUUUGGGAUAACUUCAGGAAACUGGGGCUAAUACCGGAUAGGAGCUCCUGCUGCAUGGUGGGGGUUGGAAAGUUUCGGCGGUUGGGGAUGGACUCGCGGCUUAUCAGCUUGUUGGUGGGGUAGUGGCUUACCAAGGCUUUGACGGGUAGCCGGCCUGGGAGGGUGACCGGCCACAUUGGGACUGAGAUACGGCACAGACUCCUACGGGAGGCAGCAGUGGGGAAUAUUGCACAAUGGGCGGAAGCCUGAUGCAGCAACGCCGCGUGCGGGAUGACGGGCUUCGGGUUGUAAACCGCUUUCGCCUGUGACGAAGCGUGAGUGACGGUAAUGGGUAAAGAAGCACCGGCUAACUACGUG